AUACAAAGAUGUUCCAUAACUUAUAAUUAUUUUAUUUUCAUCAAUCUCAGACAGAAAAACACUUUUUUUGAAGUUAUUGUAGUAACGAGUUAAAUAAAAAAAAUUUUUUUUUUUUGGUUGUCUUCCUGUUAGCGACAGCUUUAGCCAAGAUGGCGGCGGAUCAAGUUUGGAUUCCUCCACCGUCACUGUCAGCUAAAUUCGAAGGAUCUUUUGCGUAUCUGACGGUUAGAGACCGGCUGCCGACCAUCCUGACCAAAGUCAUCGAUACCAUUCAUCGAACCAAAAAUGCCUUCUUGGAGAAACACGGAGAGGUGGGUGUGGACGCAGAGAAAAGAGCUAUCUCCUUCCUGUCCAAGCUGAGGAAUGAGCUGCAGACGGACAAACCCAUACUGCCCCUGAGCGACUCUGCAGAUGAUACAGAAGAGUGGAACCAGUACAUGCAGAGACAGCAGGACCUGAUGGAGGACGGGCAGCCGGUCAGCUGGUUCAAGUCGCCUUGGCUCUAUGUGGAGUGCUACAUGUACAGGAGGAUCCAGGAGGCCUUGUGGCUCAGUCCACCAAUCAGUGAUUUUGAUGCCUUUAAGGAAGGAAAAACGAAGAGCUUCUUCGAGUCCCAGCAAGCGAUCAUCUCGCUCUGUACGUACCUACGAGAAAUCCUCACCAAAACGGAUACCGUGAACAAGGAAGCACUGUUGGAACAUUUCCUCAGGUUUCUGCAGGUGUCUCUGUGGGGAAACAGGUGUGAUUUAUCCAUGUCAGCCGGCCAGGACAACUCCCAGAAGACCAACCCAAUGGAUUCUCUGUCCGAUCUCCGACGCUUUAUCCUAGUGGACGAUUCGGACAAGGUCUGGUCCGUGUUAACGUCUCUUCCAGCUUCUGGAGGAACGGAGAAAACCGGCAUCAGACUGGACAUCAUUCUAGACAACGCUGGUUUCGAGCUCCUCACCGAUCUGGUACUCGCAGAUUUCAUGGUGUCUGUCGGCUUGGCGAAGGAAGUGCGUUUCCACGGAAAGUCCAUCCCGUGGUUCGUCUCGGACGUCACCAAGCAGGAUUUCGAUUGGGCGGUGUCACAAACCGCGGCGUCCAAUCACAAGCACAUGUCGUCCUGCGGCGUCCAGUGGAAGCGCCACAUGAAAGACGGAACUUGGACGUAUCACGUCCAUCGCUUUUGGACUUUACCGCACGAGUUCUGCGACAUGCCGGCGGACGCCGCAGAUCUCUACGCCACGCUGCAGGGUUCCGAUCUGAUCCUGUUUAAAGGAGACCUGAACUACCGCCGGCUGACCGGAGACAGGACGUGGGAGCACACAGUGCCGUUCCAGCGAGCGCUCAGGGGCUUCCUGCCUGCUCCGCUCUGCAGCGUCAGGACUCUGAAGGCCAACGUUCAGGUCGGAUUAGAGCCGGGUCAGGCGGAGAACCUCGCCUCUCAGGACGCCGAGUGGAUGACCAGUGGCAGAUACGCAGUGAUUCAGUUCUGCAGUCCAAGCAAACAGCAGUAGGGUUCUUGAACAUCUGAGGGGAAAAAAAAGAAAAUUUCAUUAAUUACAAACCAAAAUAAUUUCUCUCUAAUUUUUUUUUCCAUUAUUAAUGAGUCUUACCAGGUGACGUUUUUCAGAUAUCCAGGUACGUAAAAAAAAAUGCGUAACAGACAAAGCGCUCUCUUACAACCCGAAAAUUCAUCCUCACAUCUGAUAAAUAAUCCAUUUAUUAAGAAUAGAAAUCGAUCAAAGUGACCUGGCUUUAACAAAUAAUUUAUUAUUUAAUUUCAACCAUCAGAGCAUGUUAUGAUAUGUUUCUGAAAAUGUUUCUUCGCCUCUAAUCCACUGUAACUGAUAAUACAAUGAUAUAACUAUAAUAUUUACUAAUGAUAUUAUAGCUAACAUUAUAGCUUAUAGCAUUCUAGCUAACACUUUUACUGUAAAGUAAACAAAUCAAAACUCCAGAUGUGAUCGAAUCCUUACUCUCGAAGACAUUUCAGUUCAUUUUAAACUGUGAGUCUCGUCACCUUGACUUAAGGUCAUUCAGUUUUUCUUCCUUAUUUCCUUUCCUUCUCAGUCAAUAUGUAUUAAUAAUCGGUGGCAGAAUGUUUGCUUGAUAUGAAUUAAUUUGUGAAAAAGCACAUUUACAGACAGGAAUCUCUGGCUUAUAAGCAACAUGCUACACAACCUGGCUAAUUACAUAAAAGCUUUUUAUUUAUUUAUUUUUUUUGGUCAAACGGUUUACAUCAGUGACGUUCUUGCUUUUUAUGGACGUUAAGUGAAAAGCGGUGUUUCACUGGACUGCUUGUUGUCUUACUGUUUUGCAUGAGCUGUGUUUUAAAAUGACUGUAUCCUGUACCAGAACCUGGGAAAUGGACUGAAGGAAAAUAAUCAACGACUAAAUGGAUGUUAUGAUGAAGCAGAGUUACUGUUACAGAUAUGCGUAUUGUCACAGAAAAUAAAUCACAAUGUGGAUUCAGAAGCCCAGAAUGUACCCAUGAAAACGAAACACAAAUGAGGACGUCGAGUGCGUCACUGAGCACACGUCUGUUUAUCUCCAUGUCUUUCUUCAUCCUGUUGGAAGACGUAAAGUGUUACAAAAUAGGCUCUCCUGUCUACAACACAUUCCUCAGACAGGUUGUGGUACGGGUAAGUAAGGAGAAAUUGUGUAAGUGUGGAUUUUGGCUGAUUUUUGAUUUGACCCCAGGUGACCUUGGAUA